AAUGACAGGGUGAUGGUGACCCCUAAGUUUUACUGCCUCAUAGAGAUGGCUUUAGCUGCCUGUGAAGAAGAAAUCCUCUGCAUCCUGAUGUCCACCAGAUUCAGCUCAUGGUCUUCUGGUGUCCAGAACUUACCAUCUUUCAGCUCUCACCAAUGAGGAAGUCCACAUAUCUUGAAUCUAGCCUCUGUCAGUCCCUAUUCCUGUGGGAUGGAUAUUGUGGAAACCUGAAGCAUACUGAAAGUGCCUUUAAAAGGAGAUGCUGAUUUUAAUUGGAGGGAAUGGUACACAAGCCUGCUAAAUAGAGAUACAAACAAGGAAGUUGCUGUGAGAAGAGAGAGGAGGUUCAGGCAAAGUAUUUGGUCUAAUUAAUCAGCAGCUAUGUUCAUGAUUGGGUAUGGAUGUCUGGAAAGGCCUUCGCUCCUCAAUACGUCCAAGGGUUUAAAAGUCUGAGGCAAAUCCAAGUUCACUGACUAAAGACUGCUGGAUAUACAAGAGUGUAACCACCCCUUUUAUCCCACUACUAUGACCUCAAAAGAAAGACUUGUCAAAAAGCAUUCAUAGUAACAGCAUACGUGAAUAUUUUCACUGUUUAAAGUCUGCCACUUAUUCCUUUGUACCACUCUGGUUGCUUUCCUGAGAUCACAUUAAACUCAGCUGAGCAUAACAUGCAAAGGAAAAGUGACCCUGAAAGGUUCCUUUUAAGCACUCUAUGCUUCCCUGACUCAUUUUAAUGUGGCUGCCACGUGGUUCAGUAGCUGUAUAAGUGCAUGUGCUUGUUUAGUCCUGCCGUAAAUGUUAAUCUCUCCCUGGAAGAUAAAAGGACUGCCCCCUUAUAUUAUAUUAACUCCAAAAUUAUUAUUACUUUCAAAAAAUAUAUAUUUUUUGUAUUUAAGCCUCCCUUCCAUGAAUGUGAAGGGAGAUGGCAGUAUCAAGACAGCACUUUGACAAAAAAAAAAAAAAAAAAAAAAGGCAAAAUGCCAGUCCUCAUUGUAGGCCUGUGGGGUAGUGCAUACGAAACAAAAACACUGCUACAAAGGAAG